UACGUAGGGGGCAAGCGUUGUCCGGAAUCAUUGGGCGUAAAGAGCGCGUAGGCGGUCCGGUAAGUCAGCUGUGAAAGUCAAGGGCUCAACCCUUGAAAGCCGGUUGAUACUGUCGGGCUAGAGUCCGGAAGAGGCGAGUGGAAUUCCCGGUGUAGCGGUGAAAUGCGCAGAUAUCGGGAGGAACAUCAGUGGCGAAGGCGGCCUUCUGGUCCAGUACUGACACUCAAGUGCGAAAGCGUGGGGAGCAAACAGG
rnacentral:rRNA from 1 species